AGGACUGCCUGAUGGAGGGGGGUAACUACUGGAAACGGUAGCUAAUACCGCAUAACGUCGCAAGACCAAAGAGGGGGACCUUCGGGCCUCUUGCCAUCGGAUGUGCCCAGAUGGGAUUAGCUAGUAGGUGGGGUAACGGCUCACCUAGGCGACGAUCCCUAGCUGGUCUGAGAGGAUGCCAGCCACACUGGAACUGAGACACGGUCCAG
rnacentral:rRNA from 1 species